GCUGACUCUUCAACCUGCAGUUUGCCCAGACAUUUUUCACCAUACACGCACAUUUGUGUGAUCAUUUGUGAUUCGGGUGUGCAGUACAUGCCGUGUGUACCCUGGGCCGUUAAAAUGUGUUGGAUGAAUAUUUAUUGGAUAUCGUGAAGCCACCACACCCUUUCCAUGUAGAAUAGAGAACCACUGACAGACAAGGUGCUUCUCUCAAACGUGAGGUCCCUUUACACGGUCAUGCUGAGUUGCACAAAAGCCCAACAACCCCCGGCCUUUCUGAGAUGAGCCAGAACACGAAAGGGGCCCCACUGAAAUCAGCCUGGUCAUCACUACUUUUCCACCUGAUUUUGUCCCGAAACACAACAGCAACGUCUACCUGGCAUCCUGAAAUUCAAGCAUGGUGGUGGUUCUUGUCUAUACCCCCAGCACCGGGGAAGCAGAGGCAGGAGGAUCAUGAAUUUGAAGAUAAUGGAACCAUCUCAAGAAACUAACAAACAGAAAGAGAGACAAGUCAAUGCUCAGGUAACUCAGGGGCCAUCUUGAAAUUGGUUCUCUCUCUCUCUCUCUCUCUCUCUCUCUCUCUCUCUCACACACACACACACACACACACACACACACACACACACACACACACGGGACUUGUUCCCUGGGUCACUUUGCCCACACACUUAGAGCAGAGCAGACCCCUGCCCCUUCUUCCCGAGCAUGGGGGUUGCCGGUCUAUGCGAACAGCUUGGCAACUGCUACUCAUUCCUAAACUCUGAAAGCCACUCUUUGGUUUUUAUGAUUCCCGUUUACUUUCAAGUCACCUGCUGUUGUGUUAGAUUUCUGUGUCCACCAUUGGACACAGAAAAUGGUGUCUGUGUGAGCGAUAAUUAUAAAAGCGUAAGGCUUCAGUGGUGAUUACAAUUUUAGGAACACAUUUUUCAGGGAGAGAAAUGAAGGGCUAGGCUAGCAAUUCUCCAUCCUUGAAAAAAUAAGAACCAUGAGAUUUAAACCAUGAGUCUUGAGAAAGAAAUCUUGGAAAAAUAUGCAGUGGGGAGAAUUCCAUUCUCCUUUCAUACUUCCCGAUUAUGUCUAAUUAAAUGCUACGCAGAGGUAAGUUCCAAAGACAUUACCACAUGAUUUACAGGCCAAGGAAGGAGCGUUCGUUCAACACACAGAAGUAUGCAAGCAUGUGUGUGCCCCUCCCCCCACACUAAUAUAUACUAAUUGCAUUUACUGAGGAUAUUCCUUCUUUGGUCUGUCUUUCCCAAACUUUGUUGUCAUGUUGAUAGCUACCCUAUGUCUGAUGGAGGCAGUUGAAGGAGAGAGGAGUCAAACUUUGGGAGGGAAGUAGACCAUGAGGUGACAUUUAGACCUGGGUGGAGUGAGACCAAGUGGGUAAGGUGUUUCACACAGGAAAGGAAGGAACUGUGGAGGGAGGCUUGCACAGCAAGCCAUUUAGAGCUGGAGUAAGCUGAGCCAGGGAUGGUGUAAUAGGAGAUAACACCAAAUCCAAGAGCCAAUAGCUCUUCAAGCAGAUUAAAGCAAGAAGGACUAAUUUUUGGUGACCAGAAAAAGCAAGAAGAAAUUGGCCUUCAAGUCUCUUUUCC